AAUGACGGUUUCAACGAGUUUGGAAUCUCAGCCCGAAAGGGUUGAGAAAACUUAGCCAUAACCGUCGUGACUGGGCUCGGUGCUUGCAACUGUUCUCCGUGAAC
rfam:Opisthorchis viverrini opera_v5_227.8, whole genome shotgun sequence.